AGCUGUCUUGGGAGCAGCGGGAAGGCAGGCAGCUCUGGGGGCAUAAAGUGUGAUCCCACUUAGGGAUUCGAAAACCAACCCUGCACCCUCUCCUUUUCUCUCCACUCUUCUCUCCCAUCCUGCUGGUCCCACCCACCCCCCAACAACCGUGGGCCUUGUCGUGGUGCACCCAGCUGACCCUGAGGGAAAUCAAGACCCUCCACAGCCUCUGCAAUAAGGCUGAGUGGUCUCACAGGGUCCCAAGUCAGCUUCUGCCUAGAGAGAUAAAGGCAGGGGUCAGCCUGGCUGUUGUCACAGACUUUGCUUGGGUCCUAGCACCCAGACCCAAGCGUGCCACAGCGUCAGCCCUGGGAACAGAGUCUCUGCGCUUCUUAGACAGACCUGACUUCUUCAAUUAUCCGGACUCAGACCAAGCCAGGCUCCUGGCUGUGGCCCAGUUUAUUGAAGAGAAGCCCAUCGUGUUCAUUAACUCAGCUUUCCCUGGGAAUACGCUGGGUCUGCUUGGCUGUCAGUACCCAGAACCGGGGCUUCCCAGGCUCCUGCCAGCACCAGCAGGACCAAGGAGCGGGCCACCUGCACCCCACCCACCCAGCUCCCCGGGACUCACCACCGAGAGUGGGAAGCACACCAGCACCAUGGCGGCAUGGUGGAGCACCAUGAGGAACUCCUUGUGCAGUACAGUGGGGGGAAAAGAAAAGACCAGAAGAUGCCCACAGACCAAAAGGCACAGAUACAGUGCCAGAAUAAGCCCGGGCCAGGCAGGUGGGACCUUGCCAUGGUUAUUUGUCCUAACCUUACCACAAGAUUAGGACCAGCAACAGCUGAAAGGGCGACAGUGCUGGAGAGAGAGGUCACAGGGGUGAACGCCCAUUCCUGCCUCCUCGGGCAGCCGCUCUUCCAAACUUCCCAUGCAUGCACUUAUUUACCCCUCCCAAAACCCUGUAAAAAGUAGGUGUGGCCAUCAUCCCCACUGUACAGGUGAGGAAGUGAGUCACAGAGGGGCUAGGUAACCUGGCCAAGGAAGGGACAUGGGCAGUGUGGCUCCACAGCCCUCACUGUCAUCCCCACUGUCCCAAGAAGAU